rnacentral:rRNA from 1 species
AUUGAACGCUGGCGGCAGGCCUAACACAUGCAAGUCGAACGGAGUGGCGGACGGGUGAGUAAUGUCUAGGAAACUGCCUGGUAGAGGGGGAUAACGUCCGGAAAAGGGAGCUAAUACCGCAUACUAUCAGAUGAGCCUAGGUUGGAUUAGCUAGUUGGUGGGGUAACGGCCUACCAAGGCGACGAUCCGUAACUGGUCUGAGAGGAUGAUCAGUCACACUGGAACUGAGACACGGUCCAGACUCCGACGGGAGGCAGCAGUGGGGAAUAUUGGACAAUGGGCGAAAGCCUGAUGCAGCCAUGCCGCGUGGUUGAAGAAGGUCUUCGGAUUGUAAAGCACUUUAAGUUGGGAGGCGUUACCAACAUAAUAAGCACCGGCUAACUUCGUGCCAGCAGCCGCGGUAAUAC